rnacentral:rRNA from 1 species
UACGAAGGGGGCUAGCGUUGUUCGGAAUUACUGGGCGUAAAGCGCACGUAGGCGGACUACUAAGUCAGGGGUGAAAUCCCGGGGCUCAACCCCGGAACUGCCUUUGAUACUGAUAGUCUCGAGUCCGGAAGAGGUGAGUGGAAUUCCGAGUGUAGAGGUGAAAUUCGUAGAUAUUCGGAGGAACACCAGUGGCGAAGGCGGCUCACUGGUCCGGUACUGACGCUAAGGUGCGAAAGCGUGGGGAGCAAACAGG